GCCGGAAUAGCCGACGGAGCUUGUGACGUCGGAAUUGAGAUACGCGUA
rnacentral:sRNA from 1 species